rnacentral:rRNA from 1 species
UUAAAUGGCCGCAGUAAUUUGACUGUGCAAAGGUAGCAUAAUCAAUAGUUUUUUAAUUGAAAGCUUGUAUGAAGGGUUGGACGAAAUAAUGUCUGUCUUUAUUUAAUAAUUAUUAAAAUUUAAUUUUUAAGUUAAAAAGCUUAAAUAAUUAUAAAAGACGAGAAGACCCUAUAAAGCUUUAUGAGUUUAAUUUUAUAAAUAUUUUAGAUUUUUUAUUUUUAUAAUUUUUAAUUUAUUUUAUUGGGGUAAUAGAAAGAUUUAAUUAAUUCUUUUUUAUAUUUUUAUUUAUUUAUAUUUUUAAUGAUCCAUUAUUAAUGAUUAUAAGAUUAAGUUACUUUAGGGAUAACAGCGUAAUUUUUUUAGAGAGUUCAUAUUGAUAAAAAAGUUUGCGACCUCGAUGUUGGAUUAAAGAUUAAUUUAGGUGCAAAAGUUUAAAUUUUUGGUCUGUUCGACCAUUAAAUCUUUACAUGAUCUGAGUUCAGACCGGUUUAAGCCAGGUCGGUUUCUAUCUUUAUUAAAUUAAAAUAUUUUAGUACGAAAGGACCAAAUAUUAAUUAUAAUAAUUAAAUUUUGAAUAAUAAUAAUUAUUUUGGCAGAUUAGUGCAAUGAAUUUAGAAUUCUUUUAUGUAAAUUUUAUUUACAAAUAAUACUUGUUUAUAAUAGAUAGAAUUUUUUUAUUUAUUAAUAUUUUAUUAUUAAUUAUUUGUGUAUUGGUUAGUGUAGCUUU